CCUGAUGCGAGAGCAAGUUCUAAAGCCGACAGAAAUGCACUGCUUUCAUGACAACGAUUAAGAAAACCGUUACACUCAAUCUGUAAACUUGAUCCAAUUAUUGACAAUGGCAUUCUGAGAGGGGGAGGAAGAUUAAGCAAAGCUGCUAUGCCUACGGAACUAAAGAAUCCUAUGAUCCUGCCCAAAGACUCCUACAUCUCCAGACUGAUCUUACUCCACAUCCAUGAGCAGGUUGGCCUCUCACAUGCUUUCUAGACUUCGCCAGCAAUAUUGGAUACCGUGUGCCAACUCCUUAGCAAGGAAGAUCCUUAAGAGCUGUGUCUUCUGCAGGCGGAUGCAAGCUAGAGCUGGAGAACAGAAGAUGGCCGCCCUUCCGCAAGAUCGGGUGUCACCUGAUUUUCCACCUUUCACCCAAGUGGGAAUAGAUUACUUCGGCCCCAUAGAGCUAAAAGCGAGGCCGCGUUCAUGUGAAGCGGUAUGGUGUGAUCUUUAUUUGCCUUCUGAGUCGAGCUGUCCAUCUAGAAGUUAGUUAGUUAUCUAGAUACUGAUUCCUGCAUCAAUGCCCUGUGCAGGUUCAUCUGUCGAAGGGGCCCAGUAACAAGUAUCAGAACAGACAAUGGCACCAACUUUGUUGGAACACACAGAGAGCUAGGAGAAGCUCAAAGAGCUGGAUCACAACAACAUUCAAAAUGAAUUACUGAAGGAAGGAGUGACAUGGUCAUUCAAACCUCCCUCUGGAGCCCACCAUGGGGGGAUAUGGGAGGUGGGUGAUCUGACUGGUGAAAAAUAUCCUCUAUUCAGUCCUUAAAGAACAAGUACUGGAUGAUGAGGCUUUGCAGACUGCCUUGUGUGAAGUUGAGGCGAUUAUGAACGUCAGACCAAUCACAACUGUAACAAAUGACCAUAAUGAUCUAGAUCCCCUGACUCCGAACCAUCUGCUUCAUCUCAAAGCAAAGCCAGUCCUGCCACCAGGACUAUUCCAGAGAAGUGACCUAUACUCGCAAAGGAGAUGUGAGCAAGUACAAUAUUUCACUGACCUCUUCUGGAAGAGAUGGAUCAGGGAGUAUCUUCCACUUAUGCAGGAGCGGAACAAGUGGAAAAAAACGAAGAGAAACUUCAGUCCUGGUGACCUUGGUCAUCGUCGAUGACACCGCCCCAAGGAACUCUUGAACUCUUGGCUAAUGGGGCGUAUGGUGGAGUCGUUGCCAGGGGCCAAAGGUCUUGUCCGGAGAGUCAUGGUUAAGACUAAGACCAAUAUUUUACAGAGACCUAUCAAUAAACUCUGUCUGCUCCUUGAGGCGACGGAGUGACACAAACACACACACACAGUGCUCCAUCUUAGAAUCACUUGCACCUCUGAUUCGUUGAUGUCGUACUCUUACAUUCUUUGUCAUAGUCAUACAUUUUUGGACGUCAAACUCUUGACAUUUUUGGAAGUUGAACACCUUUACACUUCAACUCAGACUGAGAUCUAUGGACUAUUUUCCUAUAUGGCACCUUGUAUAUUUGUAUAUAGCUAUGAACUGUAAUAGUGCUCU